GAACGUACGCUGGCGGCACGCCUAACACAUGCAAGUCGAACGAAGUAGCAAUACUUAGUGGCAGACGGGUGAGUAACAUGUAGGUAUCUGCCCUUUGGCCUGGAAUAACACGAGGAAACUUGUGCUAAUACCGGAUAAGUCUUUACGGAGAAAGCUUUAUGCACCAUUGGAUGAGCCUGCACUUGAUUAGUUUGUUGGUGGGGUAAUGGCCUACCAAGACUGUGAUCAAUAGCUGAUUUGAGAGGAUGAUCAGCCACAUUGGGACUGAGACACGGCCCAAACUCCUACGGGAGGCAGCAGUGGGGAAUCUUGCACAAUGGAGGAAACUCUGAUGCAGCGAUGCCGCGUGAGUGAAGAAGGCCCUUGGGUUGUAAAGCUCUUUCGUCGGGGAAGAAAAUGACUGUACCCGAAUAAGAAGGUCCGGCUAACUUCGUGCCAGCAGCCGCGGUAAUACGAAGGGACCUAGCGUAGUUCGGAAUUACUGGGCUUAAAGAGUUCGUAGGUGGUUGAAAUAGUUGGUGGUGAAAUCCCAGAGCUUAACUCUGGAACUGCCAUCAAAACUUUUCAGCUAGAGUAUGAUAGAGGAAAGCAGAAUUUCUAGUGUAGAGGUGAAAUUCGUAGAUAUUAGAAAGAAUACCAAUUGCGAAGGCAGCUUUCUGGAUCAUUACUGACACUGAGGAACGAAAGCAUGGGUAGCGAAGAGGAUUAGAUACCCUCGUAGUCCAUGCCGUAAACGAUGUGUGUUAGACGUUGGAAAUUUAUUUUCAGUGUCGCAGGGAAACCGAUAAACACACCGCCUGGGGAGUACGACCGCAAGGUUAAAACUCAAAUGAAUUGACGGGGACCCGCACAAGUAGUGGAGCAUGUGGUUUAAUUCGAAGAUACGCGCAGAACCUUACCAACACUUGACAUGUUCGUCGCGACUCUAAGAGAUUAGAGUUUUCGGUUCGGCCGGACGAAACACAGGUGCUGCAUGGCUGUCGUCAGCUCGUGUCGUGAGAUGUUGGGUUAAGUCCCGCAACGAGCGCAACCCUCACUUUUAGUUGCCAUCAUUAAGUUGGGCACUCUGAAAGAACUGCCAGUGAUAAGCUGGAGGAAGGUGGGGAUGACGUCAAGUCCUCAUGGCCCUUACGUGUUGGGCUACACACGUGCUACAAUGGUAUCUACAACAGGAAGCAAGACUGCGAAGUUAAGCAAAUCCCUAAAAGAUACCUCAGUUCGGAUUGCACUCUGCAACUCGAGUGCAUGAAGCUGGAAUUACUAGUAAUCGUGGAUCAGCGUGCCACGGUGAAUGCGUUCCCGGGUCUUGCACUCACCGCC
rnacentral:rRNA from 1 species